CCUUCACUAACACACUGUUCUACCUUCCUAUUUUCUUCUUUGCUUGCUUUGAAAACAUUUGGCUUUAUGUUCACCUACAUGAAAUGCACUAAAUCUCUGGUGAUGGCAGUGUUUUACCUUUCUAACCAGAUGCAGUUGAGCAGAUCAAUGCAUGAAGUAAAUCACAAAACUUAACAGGAGCACACUGGAAUCUACAAUCUCAAGGUAUUAGGGAAAAAAUCUUUCUGACCAUACCACCUAUCCAAAGGAUGAAAAUCUAGCUCACUUCCAGCCUUUUCUGUUGUUAUUUCCAUACCUGCUUUACAAAAUUCUGUACUUUUUCUCCUGCAAUUGGCAACAGUCGUGCAUGUGUGUAUGGAGAUGGCAUCCUCUUUAGGGAACAUAUUAAAUUGACUAUGCACAUCUGAA
rnacentral:lncRNA from 1 species